AGAAGGAGCGGAUCCGCGAGC
rnacentral:miRNA from 1 species